rnacentral:lncRNA from 1 species
AUUAUUAUGGAAAAUAAUGUAUAUUGAUUAAAUAUCUAUCAAAUAUAACAAUUAGUAAGGAUUAACAAGGAAUUAAUAGAGAUACAUUAAUGAAUACAAUGCAUUAGCACUUUUUUUUAAUUAUAGUCAAACGAUAGGAAAGCAACGAUUUUUAAAAUGUUACUUGAUUGUUAUAGAAAUUCAGAUGAAAUAGAACUCUCUUUUUUUUUAAAAGGGUUUCGCAGAACCCUGUGUUUCGCCUGCUUUUGCUACUGUCAAUGCAACAAAGUAGUAAUGAAUGCUCUGCUUACUGAUUUUUUUUUUGUCACAAGAAAGUUGCUGUCAGUAAUUCAUAAAAUCCUUUGAAUGUUUGAAAACAUUAUUGAUGUAAAAAAAAAAUCAUUCACCAUUUACCAAAAUGUUAACGAUAACGACGACACAAUCCAGAAUCACUAUGUUCCGUUUCCACAUAUUUUUGCAGGCUCGACAAAAUAGAAAUACCAAGAAACAGUCCAUAACCAGGUGCUCCGCAGGGCGCAGCUUUAUACGACCGCAGAGGUCGAACCCUGAACAGUUGGGGCAAGUAUGGACAAAACAUUCAAGCGUGAUACAGCUCUGAAUUUGGAUUGUGAUCAAAUUUUGGACAUUACAUGGGUUUUUUUUUUACACAAAAC